ensembl:lncRNA novel transcript, antisense to CBLN1
AGGCGCGGCGAGGCGGGUGGCGCGCGGCAGCAGGGUUGGGCUCUCGCCGUGAGUCGACGAAGGGAGCGCGGGCGCGCGCCCGCGUCCGCGCACUGAGAGUCGCCUCGGCCGCUCGCUUUCUCGACUCCCGCCUCGCGCCUCGAUCCUGUUCCGCCUCCCUCGGCCCUCCUGCCCGCCCCCACUCGUCGGCCCUCAGCAUUGUCUUUGAAUAUUAGCAAAUAAUGGAACAUGGGCCAAGGGUGAACCAUGACGAAUUUGUGUUCCAGCAGCCCUGCUUCUUUAGAAUUGACAGUCUGGCUUCGUGGUUAAUUCACAGCAUCUGAGGAAUACAUCCAAAGAGGGUGAUACUGUGGCAUGAUGGUACCAGGAUUCCAAGUUCAUUCCAGAUCAUUGGGUAGAGACUAGAAAUGUACCGAGCAGUGCGCAAAGAAGAUGAGGAGGGUUCUACAGUUUCUCCAGAUACAUACCAUGACAAUUUGUUUUUUUAAAAAAGAAGAAAGCCUGCAGGAGAUUGUGGGGACAGCAGAAUGUGACUUCCAAGGCUAGGUCCUGAAAGAUGCUGUGACUUUCGCCUGAGUCUCUUGGAUCACUCGCUCUGGGGGAGGACUGCUGUCAUGUCAUGAGGACACUCAGGCAUCCCCAUGGAAAAGUCUGCAUGGAAAAAAUCUACAACUUUCAUCAAAUUACUCAGGGAGACUUUAUUCUAAAGAGACUGAAAACGACCAACAUCAAUUUUGACUCCUAUGGGCAUCUGUAAAUAGCUUCAAGGUUUUAAGGUGAAAUGUCAUGUACCAAAAUACACAUUCUGGAGAAGCAGGAAGCUACAGACCAACUUGAGAUGAAAGUCUCAUAUCAAUGUUUUCCCAAGUGUGCUCCUUGGAAUACAGGUUGACAUGAUAUGAUGCCCAGCAAGGGAAACAAAACAUAUUCAUGUUCAAAUUAGUUGGGGAAAUGCUGGACUAAAUAAGGUUUGAUGGGAUUCUUUUUUCUGCAGGACUUCUCAGAAGGGGCUAGAGUAGGCAAAGUUUCCCAGAUUUACCUAAUAAAAGCAUUGUUUCUGUGGGAGUUUCAUUUGUUAUUACAUGUUUCCUGAAUGCAGAUUCAUAGACUAUCCUUUGGGGAACCCUCGUCCUCACGGGAUGUAUGUUCAUGGUGGUGUCUUCGAGUUUGUGCCCUUGUGAAGCAUUCUGGCAGCAAGCAUCUGAACACUUCCAAAAGGGGGCGAUAUUUAGGAGAAAUCGCUCAGCCUGAGUUAGAACAAAUGCAGCUGCUGGUGUCUCUUGGUGCCUGGGAGCCCUAGAGUGUCAGAGGGAGGAGCGUGCACACUGGAACCAGCAGCCUGGUGCUGCGUCUCAGCUCUGUCGCUAACUGGCUAUGCACCUCUGGGCAUGGCACUUAACCCUUCUGAGCCCCAGCCCGCCAUCUGUAAAAAGGGCUUGAUGUGAGGAUUGAAUGAGAUCAUGCAGGGAACACAAUGUCUGGCACUUGGAAGCGUCCACCAUAAAGAGCCAAGGCAGUAGAUGGCCCAGCUGGGUUUGGUCCAGGCAGAGUUUACCCUCUGCCCUGGAGGCUCCAGGAAAUGCUGCCACGUGGCUCCUAUUGCCUUAACCACAUCCGACCUGUUCCUGACAGCUCCCCACAUCUCCAGCUCCUUUGCUGGUGCUCCAGGCACCUCCAAACGUGGCGAGCCCCUCUCCCCUGCCCUCUUGUGGCAGCUGACCUGGCAGGAGUGGGACCAAGACAUCCAAGGCAGCUCCUUUCCACCUGCAUGGGCACUUUCCUCAGGACAUCCUUGCCCCUGGCACCACCUUGGGCCAGCAAGCCACAUGGAAAUGGAUGCAGAGGCACCACUGUUUGCUGACAAUUAUACACUGUCCUUAAGGUCACCCUUGGCGAUCUGUCACCAGGAGCAGACAAACCCACACCUCAACCAUCCCAUCAGAGCUUGUUUCUAUCUGCAUCUGUCAUCGCUGAUCGCAUUUGAAUGGGUUUAGUCUCUAUUUUAAAUAAAAGAUUUAUGCCUUAGCUGUCAGAGCCUGCCUUUAUUUGAAAAUUUAAUCUUGUUUCUAGGAGUCUAGAUUAACUUAUUAGAUUUAGGCGUCCCUCGUGGGUCUCUGAGAGAGGAGGAGUAGAUUCUCCUCCCUGCAUUCGGCCCUGCACACCCGACAGUGAGAGCCAAGAGCUGGAUGGGCUUCUCCAUCCAGCACGCCCAGGCUGGACAGAGGCCCCCAACUCAGGCAACUUUGUCGGGUAACCGUGUGUCCAGGGAGUGCUUUCUUGCACGCUCCGUCUCCGGGCCAGCUUCCAGGACCUGUGCUCACUGCAAGGGACACCCAUCAAGCCGGCCCUUUCUCAGAGGUUUUGGGGAGGCUUCAGGAAGGACCCCCAGUGGGGGCCCAGCUUGUCAACAUGGGCUGUGCCAAGGAGUUCUGAGUUUCCUUCAGGUCUGUAUUGUAUCUUCCACCCCCUCAGAGCUCCCUCCCUACUGCUUAGACCACACGAAGCUGUGGGGCUGUGGGCAGCCAGUUCACUUCCCUGACCUUGUCUGCAGGUGGAGACAGUGGCAGUGCCCCUCCCGGGCUGCUGCGUCACUCAGUGUAAAAGCAGGGAGGCACUGGAGAGCUGCUGUCUGCAAGUUUGUUGCUACUUCAAAAGGUGCAGGUGGGCCCUCACCUCCUUUAGAGGUGAGGAUGAGCUACCCAAAGUGAAAAGGAGCUUCUCAGCGUCGCAAUGGAGUCACGGCCAGGCUGCCCACACCAGCCGUCCGGACCUGCACCAGUGCCACGGGGUCUGCCCCAUCUUCUCUUCCCUCUCCUUCCCCUCUCCCUCUCUCUCCCUGUCUCUUUCUCCUCUCUCCAUGCUAUUGACUGAAUGUUUGAAUUCCCUGCAAAUGCAUUCCUAACCCCCAAUGUGACUGUGUUUGGAGACAGGGUCUUUAGGAGGUAACUGAGGUUAAAUGAGGUUGUAAAGAUGGGGCCCUGAACCGAUGGGACUGGGGUCCUUAUGAGAAGAGGAAAAGGGGUCCCUCCCCAUGGAGGGACGACCACAGCGAGGCAGCAGCCGCCCACACGCCAGAGAAGGGGACUCAGACGGAAGCCUUGCUUCACCGGCACCUUGAUCUUG